UGGACGUCCUGUUUUUUAGGCUCUGGCUUGUCGUGCAAAGGAGAAGAAUGAGGCAGCCUUGCUGAGAGUUGAUAUUUAACUUCAGCCCCACCAGAUAAAGAAAGCACCCAUGCAAUGGUUUUGAGAGGGAGAUCUGCAAAAUAAAGAUUAGCCUCCAAUGCCGAGAACACUGAACUGAUUAUUCAGGGUGAAAAUACAGAAGAAGAGCAUUUGUCCCUUGAAACAGUAAAGCAUGUGGAGAAUCCACACAGUCACAAGUAUGCAGCAGCCAUGCAGAGGAAAUGAACACUUUUAGUCACUUUAGGCAUAUAAACAAAAGAAUGCAGAUAGACGCACAUGAACCUAGAACUGCACCUAACCAUGAUCUUUCCAUUAUUUUUCCGAUGAAUACUCCUGGCAAUGACUAAACAAUCCAGAGAUUCUUAAAUAGCACCAGCAAGUAAUCAACAGACCGCAAGAUAUUUUCUCUAUGGUGUUAAUAAAGUGCUUUAUCUACCUCGCAUCCAUGGCCAGUUUUGAAUAGCCAAUAAGCGGAACAUGUGUCUGGGACUGUGGGAGCAAGCCAGGAAACCCUCGCAGGGACAACAUGCAAACUUUGAACCAGGAAACUGCUUGGUGCCAGGCAGCAUUGCUAACCACUGACAAAACCAGCAUUCGGUUAAAUUUCUGACUCAUCUACAUUAUUGUACAAAAGUCUUGAACCAACCAGCAUUACCUCUGCCAAAUAGAUUAUGGUUUUGGUAAUAUGUGUGCGUGUAUGUGCCUGUAAACAUAGUAGCUCAAAAUGUUUUGAAUAAAUUCUGUUAAAAUUGUAUAGAGUGUGGUCAUGCGGGAAUCCAUUAAAAUUUGGCUUAUAUCUGCCAAGGUCUUCAAAUUCUAUUUACUGAUUUAUUGGUGGAAAUUAUAACGAAAAGCCUUAUAACUUACAAACUAUGAUUCAUACAAGGGUUUUGUGUAUUGUCAAGCUGUAGAAAGUAACAUAGGAUUUAACAUAGGAUGGUAUUUAAAAUACUGUGUCACAUUUGACCUCUGACCUGUCCUUCAAAGUCAAUAAAUUGAUCUCAUGGUCAAAGUGAGCGAUUUUAAAUGACAAUUGGUUUUCAGACUGACGAGAACAGGUUGACAAGGGAUACUUUUUGUGUACAGUUGAUUAAUUUUAUUACGACUUUGUUAUGUAAAUUAUAGUAAAA
ensembl:lncRNA